rnacentral:snoRNA from 14 species
CAGUUGGCGGGGACCGGGUAUGCAGGCCCGCUCCCCGUAAUGUACGGAGGUAGAAGAAAGGGCUCCGGCCCUCUCGGUGUUUUGUCUUCGGGGCUUGCGGCCUCCCGUGCGCAGGUUCUAUCCUCAGACACCGGAACACCU